AUCAUCCAUCUAUUAUACGAUAUGUUGACUUUGCAGAAGAUGAUAACUUUGGAUAUCUCGGUCUUCAACUUUCUGAAUACACCCUGGAAGAAUACAUCAGAAAUAAAGAUGGUGGUCUACUGAUAAAGAAACUUGUCAAACAGAUUCUCAAGAGUUUAAGGGUGCUUCAUUGUCAAAAUCCUCCAAUUCUCCACCGAGAUCUCAAACCACAGAAUGUUUUGAUCGAUGUUAUCGGGAGGGUAAGAUUAGCUGAUUUUGGUAUAAGUAGACGGUUACCCAUAGGACAAACAACUUUGCACACAGGCAGUGCAGGAACUAAAUGUUGGAUGGCCAAGGAGACAUUAGACGUAAAAGUUAAAACACCAUACAAGUGGAGCACUGACAUACAGGUGGCAGGGAUGCUCAGUUAUUAUAUCCUCUCUGGAGGACACCAUCCUUUUGGCGACAAACCCUAUGAAUGUGAGUACAACAUUCACAAAGGGAAGUACAGUUUGGACCAUGUUCCAGAUGUGGUGGCAAAGGAUCUCAUCGAGUGGAUGAUCGAUGCAGAACCAAAGAACAGACCUAAAGUGGAAGAAUGCUUGAGUCAUCCCUUCUUCUGGACCACUGAAAGGAGAGUUGAAUACUUGAGAAGAGUUGGAAACAUAAAGGACGUGGAAAACUGCCGAAAUCCUGAACCGCAAUUAUUGUCUUCGCUG